rnacentral:tRNA from 1 species
GGAAGGUUGUCCGAAUUGGUAAGGAAGCGGACUGCUAAUCCGUAGUCGGACUAAUAAUUCGACUUGUGGGUUCGAGUCCCACACCUUCCGCCA